UACGAAGGGGGCUAGCGUUGCUCGGAAUCACUGGGCGUAAAGCGCACGUAGGCGGCUUUCUAAGUCAGGGGUGAAAUCCUGGAGCUCAACUCCAGAACUGCCUUUGAUACUGGAGAGCUUGAGUCCGGAAGAGGUGAGUGGAACUCCGAGUGUAGAGGUGAAAUUCGUAGAUAUUCGGAAGAACACCGGUGGCGAAGGCGAGUCCCUGGACAACCCCUGACACUGAGGCACGAAAGCUAGGGGAGCAAACAGG
rnacentral:rRNA from 1 species